AGGAUAAUAGUUAAAUUUAACAUUUAAAUUGCAAUUAAAAAUUAUUGGUCAAAUCCAUUUUAUCUUA
rnacentral:tRNA from 1 species